rnacentral:rRNA from 1 species
GUCCACGCCCUAAACGAUGAUGACUAGUUGUUGGGGAGUUAAAUCCCUUAGUAACGCAGCUAACGCGUGAAGUCAUCCGCCUGGGGAGUACGGUCGCAAGAUUAAAACUCAAAGGAAUUGACGGGGGCCCGCACAAGCGGUGGAUGAUGUGGUUUAAUUCGAUGAAACGCGAAAAACCUUACCUACCCUUGACAUGCUAGGAAUCCUGCAGAAAUGCAGGAGUGCCCGAAAGGGAACCUAGACACAGGUGCUGCAUGGCUGUCGU